rnacentral:rRNA from 1 species
GACGAACGCUGGCGGCGUGCCUAAUACAUGCAAGUAGAACGCUGAAGGAGGAGCUUGCUUCUCUGGAUGAGUUGCGAACGGGUGAGUAACGCGUAGGUAACCUGCCUGGUAGCGGGGGAUAACUAUUGGAAACGAUAGCUAAUACCGCAUAAGAGUAGAUGUUGCAUGACAUUUGCUUAAAAGGUGCACUUGCAUCACUACCAGAUGGACCUGCGUUGUAUUAGCUAGUUGGUGGGGUAACGGCUCACCAAGGCGACGAUACAUAGCCGACCUGAGAGGGUGAUCGGCCACACUGGGACUGAGACACGGCCCAGACUCCUACGGGAGGCAGCAGUAGGGAAUCUUCGGCAAUGGACGGAAGUCUGACUGAGCAACGCCGCGUGAGUGAAGAAGGUUUUCGGAUCGUAAAGCUCUGUUGUAAGAGAAGAACGAGUGUGAGAGUGGAAAGUUCAC